rnacentral:rRNA from 1 species
AGUGAACGCUGGCGGUAGGCCUAACACAUGCAAGUCGAACGGCAGCACAGUAAGAGCUUGCUCUUACGGGUGGCGAGUGGCGGACGGGUGAGGAAUACAUCGGAAUCUACUUUUUCGUGGGGGAUAACGUAGGGAAACUUACGCUAAUACCGCAUACGACCUACGGGUGAAAGCAGGGGAUCUUCGGACCUUGCGCGAUUGAAUGAGCCGAUGUCGGAUUAGCUAGUUGGCGGGGUAAAGGCCCACCAAGGCGACGAUCCGUAGCUGGUCUGAGAGGAUGAUCGGCCACACUGGAACUGAGACACGGUCCAGACUCCUACGGGAGGCAGCAGUGGGGAAUAUUCGACAAUGGGCGCAAGCCUGAUCCAGCCAUACCGCGUGGGUGAAGAAGGCCUUCGGGUUGUAAAGCCCUUUUGUUGGGGAAGAAAAGCAGCAGGUUAAUACCCCGCUGUUCUGACGGUACCCAAAGAAUAAGCACCGGCUAACUUCGUG